UGUUGGUUGUGGUUUUUUAAAGAAAUUAUAUUUUUUAAUAUCUAGUGUCUCUGUGCACCUGGCUGGACCGGAGAAUUUUGUCAAGUUGCUGAAAAUGCAUGUUUAAUUUACCCAAAGAGUUGUACUAAUGGAGCAACUUGCGUUGAUUUGAGCCACCUGGGAGAGCAACCUUUGUUUCAGUGUUUGUGUCCUCAUGGUUUCACAGGAGAAUUCUGCAAGGUGCAAAUUGAUAACUGCAAUUCCAACCCAUGUGAAAAUGGAGGAACAUGUGUUACCUAUGAAGACCAUUUUAAGUGCAUUUGCCCCAUGGGUUUUGAAGGUGAAAGAUGUGAACUGGAUAUUGACGUCUGCCUAUUCUACAAUAUAAGCUGUGCCCCAGGAGCACUGUGCAUGAAUAAAUCUCAUGGAUUUAAUUACACGUGUUUAUCACCAUGUAUUGGAAACACAGAGGUAUGCGCAAAUGGAGGUAGCUGUUUCUAUGAUGAGGACAACCAGAGAUCUCACUGUGUUUGUGCUCUUGGGUGGACAGGACAAACAUGCCUGGAGAAUAUUAAUGACUGUGAGAUAAACCAGUGCCAACAUGGAGCCACAUGUGAAGAUGAAGUGAAUAAAUACAGCUGUAAUGAAACUCUGCAAGAUCAUUUGAGACCUAUAUUCCUUUCAUGAGGAACAGAAUCAUCUGGAGCCCUCAAGAAGAAAGGAAGAUUUAUCCUUUGCUAAGGAUUGGCUGAGGCUGGAAGAGAGAAUGCAAUAGCUACACCUACUCAAGUAGGUACUGUAGUGCAGAAGCAAAGGAUCCAUAGAGCAAAAAUGGUUGUGCUGAAGAAUUCUUAAUCUCUAUGUUGAAGAUACAGAGGACUUACUGCAAGCAGUCUCCAGUUUGGUCCUAGAACUAAAGGCUCUUCAACAGCUGGAGUACGUUAGCAGUUCCUUGAAAAGCACAACUUCUGAUUUAGUUUCAUCUGAAUAGCAUACUUUACAUCACUGCUCUGCCAUGUGAAGUAAAACACUACAGUUUUGAACAGUCAGGACAUACAUCAUAAAAGUUUUCUCCUCAUCUAACCUAAAAUGGUUAUACUAAUGCACCUUCUGACAAUGGAAAGUGGAAAGCCAGGCUUGUUCUUAUGAAAUUUUUUCCAAGGGACGGGGAAGACACCCGAAUUUUUCUGCAAGGAGCCAGCUGAAAGAAAAGGAGUUGUUAUUCUUGUCAUAUUUACAUUUAAAAUCUUUUUUUUCUUGAUCUGCUCAUUUUCUAGGUACUCUGAAGGUACUCGUGAGCUGUUA
rnacentral:lncRNA from 1 species